CACUGGGUAGGGGAGCGUUCUUAUCUGGACGAAGGCAGACCGGAAGGACUGCUGGACGGGUAAGAAGUGAGAAUGCCGGUAUGAGUAGCGAAACGACAGGUGAGAAUCCUGUCCACCGAAAGCCUAAGGGAUCCUGGGCAACGCUCGUCGCCCCAGGGUAAGUCGGGACCUAAGCCGAGGCGAAAAGCAUAGGCGAUGGACAACUGGCGAAAAUUCCAGUACCGGGCGUCUUCGUUUAAGGAUGGAGUGACGCAGGAAGGAAGCUGAGCGCGCGAAUGGUUGAGCGCGUCGAAGGCGGUAGGCUUGUAUGGAGGCAAAUCCCCAUACUACAAGGCCGAGAACCGAUAGAUAGGAAAGACUACGGUCAAUCUGAAUUCAGCUGCACUACACUGCCAAGAAAAGCUUCUAACGAGAAGACGUCCGCCCGUACCAAAACCGACACAGGUAGGCGGGGAGAGAAUCCUAAGGUGCGCGGGAAAACCCUCGUUAAGGAACUCGGCAAAAUGCAUCCGUAACUUCGGGAAAAGGAUGGCCGUUGAUGGUGACGACACUUGCUGUCUGAGCUGUUGGCGGCGGCAGAAAAGAGGCCCAAGCGACUGUUUACCACAAACACAGGUGCCUGCGAAAGCGCAAGCUGAAGUAUAGGUGCUGACGCCUGCCCGGUGCAGGAAGGUUAAGGAGAGUUGUUAGUCCUUGAGAUGAAGCAGCGAACUGAAGCCCCUGUAAACGGCGGCCGUAACUAUAACGGUCCUAAGGUAGCGAAAUUCCUUGUCGGGUAAGUUCCGACCCGCACGAAAGGCGUAACGAUUUGGGCACUGUCUCAACGAGGGACCCGGUGAAAUUGAAAUACCUGUGAAGAUGCAGGUUACCCGCGACUGGACAGAAAGACCCCAUGGAGCUUUACUGCAGCUUGGCAUUGGUCUUUGGCAUAUGACGUACAGGAUAGCCGGGAGACUGGGAGGAUAGAUCGCUAGAUUUAUCGGAGUCACCGUUGGGAUACCGGCCUUCAUAUGCGAAGGAUCUAACCGGAAUGUUAACAGCAUUCGGGACAGUACCAGGCGGGCAGUUUGACUGGGGCGGUCGCCUCCGAAAGAGCAACGGAGGCGUCCAAAGGUUCCCUCAGCGCGGACAGAAAUCGCGCGCAGAGCAUAAAGGCAGAAGGGAGCUUGACUGCGAGACUGACGGGUCGAGCAGGUACGAAAGUAGGGCUUAGUGAUCCGGUGGAAAGAGAGUGGAAUUGCCAUCGCUCAACGGAUAAAAGCUACCCUGGGGAUAACAGGCUAAUCUCUCCCAA
rnacentral:rRNA from 1 species